GCGACCCCAGGAUGGGCGGGAUGACCCGCUGA
rnacentral:rRNA from 3 species